rnacentral:rRNA from 1 species
AACGAACGCUGGCGGCGUGCUUAACACAUGCAAGUCUGACGGGAAUGUCGGCUUCGGCCGGCUAGUACCGUGGCGAACGGGUGAGUAACACGUGGGUAAUCUGCCCUUGGGUCUGGGAUAACCUUGCGAAAGCGGGGCUAAUACCGGAUAAGAACACGCUCUGUUAGCAGAGUGCGGUAAAAGGUGGCCUCUGCAUGAAAGCUAUCACCUGAGGCGGAGCCCGCGGCCUAUUAGCUAGUUGGUAGGGUAAUGGCCUACCAAGGCGACGAUGGGUAGCCGGCCUGAGAGGGUGUACGGCCACACUGGCACUGAGACACGGGCCAGACUCCUACGGGAGGCGGCAGUGGGGAAUAUUGCGCAAUGGACGAAAGUCUGACGCAGCAACGCCGCGUGGGUGAAGAAGGCCUUCGGGUCGUAAAGCCCUGUCAGGUGGGAAGAAACCUGCGUAAGCAGCUGACGGUACCACCAAAGGAAGCACCGGCUAACUCCGUGCCAGCCGCCGCCGUAAUAC